ACUACGGGGAGCAGCAGUGAGGAAUAUUGGUCAAUGGACGAGAGUCUGAACCAGCCAAGUAGCGUGAAGGAUGACUGCCCUAUGGGUUGUAAACUUCUUUUAUAAAGGAAUAAAACGAGGCACGUGUGCCUUUUUGCAUGUACUUUAUGAAUAAGGAUCGGCUAACUCCGUGCCAGCAGCCGCGGUAAUACGGAGGAUCCGAGCGUUAUCCGGAUUUAUUGGGUUUAAAGUGAGCGUAGAUGGGUUGUUAAGUCAGUUGUGAAAGUUUGCGGCUCAAACGUAAAAUUGCAAUUGAUACUGGCAGUCUUGAGUACAGUUGAGGUAGGCGGAAUUCGUGGUGUAGCAGUGAAAUGCUUAGAUAUCACGAAGAACCCCGAUUGCGAAGGCAGCUUACUAAACUGUGACUGACAUUGAUGCUCGAAAGUGUGGGUAUCAAACAGGAUUAGAUACCCUGGUAGUC
rnacentral:rRNA from 1 species